GUUACUGAGUUACCGCAGAGUGACCGCGAGUCACCGAGGCUGGAGGACCGGAAGUGGCCUUUCGUGGCUCUUCAGACGCUGAACAGAGGCAUCAAGCCAUUACAAAAUAAGGCACCAGCCAGCAAGCACCCUUCUACCUCCUGUCUCUAUGACUUUGACUUUUCUAGGCACCUCAGGUAAGUGGAACCAUACAAUCGUUGUACUUUUCUGAUAUAUUUCACUUAGCAUAAUGUCUUCAGGAUUUGCCCGUGUGGUGGCACGUGUCAGAAUCAGAAUCCAUUCCUUUUCAACGGAGACUAAUACGCCAUUUUU